rnacentral:rRNA from 1 species
AGAGUUUGAUCAUGGCUCAGAAUCAACGCUGGCGGCGUGCCUCAGACAUGCAAGUCGAACGCGAAAGUCCCCUUCGGGGGAUGAGUAGAGUGGCGCACGGGUGAGUAACACGUAGGUAAUCUACCUUCGGGUGGGGAAUAACCCAGGGAAACUUGGGCUAACACCGCAUAAUGCAGCGGCACCACAUGGUGACAGUUGUUAAAGCGGGGGAUUUUCGGACCUCGCGCCUGAAGAGGAGCCUGCGGCAGAUUAGCUUGUUGGUAAGGUAACGGCUUACCAAGGCGACGAUCUGUAGCCGGCCUGAGAGGGCGGUCGGCCACACUGACACUGACAUACGGGUCAGACUCCUACGGGAGGCAGCAGUCGGGAAUUUGGGCAAUGGGCGAAAGCCUGACCCAGCAACGCCGCGUGAAGGAUGAAAUCCCUCGGGAUGUAAACUUCGCAAGAAUGGGAAGAAUUAGUAGGGGACAAUACCCCCUAUGAUGACGGUACCAUUUGUAAGCUCCGGCUAACUCCGUGCCAGCAGCCGCGGUAAUACGGGGGGAGCAAGCGUUGUUCGGAUUUACUGGGCGUAAAGGGCGCGUAGGCGGUCAGCACAAGUCAGUUGUGAAAUCUCCGGGCUUAACUCGGAAAGGUCAACUGAUACUGUGCGACUAGAGUGCGGAAGGGGCAACUGGAAUUCUCGGUGUAGCGGUGAAAUGCGUAGAUAUCGAGAGGAACACCUGCGGCGAAGGCGGGUUGCUGGGCCGACACUGACGCUGAUGCGCGAAAGCCAGGGGAGCGAACGGGAUUAGAUACCCUAGUAGUCC